UACGAGAGGGGCUAGCGUUGUUCGGAAUCACUGGGCGUAAAGCGCACGUAGGCGGGUGUGUCAGUCAGGGGUGAAAUCCCGGAGCUCAACUUCGGAACUGCCUUUGAUACAGCACGUCUUGAGUCCGAUAGAGGUGGGUGGAAUUCCUAGUGUAGAGGUGAAAUUCGUAGAUAUUAGGAAGAACACCGGUGGCGAAGGCGGCCCACUGGAUCGGUACUGACGCUGAGGUGCGAAAGCGUGGGGAGCAAACAGGAU
rnacentral:rRNA from 1 species